CCAUAUUUCCUUUCACUACGUCCCCAAGUUCUUUUAUUACAAGUUAUUACAAAACUAGACCAAAAAAACAUUAAAGGAAAUAAAAGCUGAAUACAUCAAUAACUACAACAGGCCUGAAGAAGCGCAAAGCAACUUUAAUGUCCAACAUAUGCCUUUUACCAAAUCCGGGCUCCCAAAUCCGAGGCUUUAUCUUUAAAGUGUUCCAAAG
rnacentral:lncRNA from 1 species